GGGUUCAAUUUUUAUUUUCACAUCAUAUUGAAGCAACUUUUCAGAAUGGGGUCUUAUCGCUCUCUCUCGCGAUUUUUCGCUGAUCGGUUGUGCUGAUUAACUGCGGCCUUUCAUCCUUAUGGGUUUGGAAUGUUAUUCUUUUAUCUCUCCUUCUGUUCGUCAGUUCGAAUUUCUUUCUGUUUUCAUUAUUUUAGGUGAUUGAGAGAAUGGGUCAAGGUUUUUUCUGUGUAAAAUGAUUAUUUCAAUUCUUAUUAUGUUGUCCAUCUUAGCAUAUGCAUAUGUAUUGGACUAGUGUUUUCUUUUAUAGCUUCGGUUAUAGUGAGAUUUUUGGUUCAUGCCUUUUAUUUUGACUCUUCUUUCACCCAAGAAUAUUAUAAAGCAACUAAGGCUUCAUUUGUUAUGUAGAUUCUAUUUAAGCAUGAAUCUAACCAUGGAAGGGAGCUGUAUUGGACUAGUGUUUCCUUUUAACUUCAGCUUCGUGAAUUUUCAAGACUCUUCUAUCACUCAAGAGUAUCUUAAAAUAUGCAACUAAGGCUUCCAUUCUUUUAUCGGAUCACAAGAAUCUAACCUUGGAGGGAAUUGUCUUGGAGUAAUGUUUCCUUUUAACUUUAGCCUUUGUGAGAUUUUUGGUUCAUGUCUUCAAUGUGUUCAAUGAAUUUUCAAGACUCUUCUUUUACUGUAAGAAUAUUAAAGCGACGCUUAAUCAAGCAAUAAUCUAACGUUGGAAGGGAGUUGUACUGAACUAGUGUUUGCUUUCAACUUUAGCUUCGUUGUUUGUGAGGUUUUUUGCUCAUGCCUUUUGUUUUGGGUGUUUAAUAAAUUUUCAGGAGUCUUCCUUCACUCAAGAAUAUUUUAAAGUGACUAAGGCUUUAAUAAUCCAACCUUGGAAGGGAGUUGUCCCUGACUAGUGUUUCAUUUUAACUUUAUCUUCGGUCUUUGUGAGAUCUUUGGUUCAUGUCUUUUGUUUUGGGCGUUCAAUGAAUUUUCAGGACUCUUCUUUCACUCGAGUAUUUUAAACUGACUAAGGCUUCAAUCAUUUUAUCCAUUCGAGUUGAGCAAGAAUCUAUCUUUGGAAGGGAGUUGUUUUGAACUACUAUUUCCUUUUAACUUUAGCUUCGUUGUUUAUGAGAUUUUUCGUUUAUGCCUUUUGUUUGGGUGUUCAAUGAAUUUUUAGGACUCUUCUUUCACUCAAGAAUAUUUUAAAGCGAUAAAGGCUUCAAGGGUUUAGGGUUCAUGUCUUUUGUUUUGGGCGUUCAAUGAAUUUUCAGGACUCUUCUUUCACUCGAGUAUUUUAAACUGACUAAGGCUUCAAUCAUUUUAUCCAUUCGAGUUAAGCAAGAAUCUAUCUUUGGAAGGGAGUUGUUCUGAACUACUAUUUCCUUUUAACUUUAGCUUCGUUGUUUAUGAGAUUUUUCGUUUUUGCCUUUUGUUUGGGUGUUCAAUGAAUUUUUAGGACUCUUCUUUCACUCAAGAAUAUUUUAAAGCGACAAAGGCUUCAAUUGUUUUAUUGGGUCUAUUUAAACAAGAAUCUAGCCUUGGAAGGGAGUUGUCUUCGACUAGUGUUUCCUUUUUUCUUCAUCUUCGUUCUUUGUGAGAUUUUUGGUUCAUGUCUUUUGUUUUUGGUGUUCAAUGAAUUUUCAGGACUCUUCUUUCACUCAAGAAUAAUUUGAGACAUGGAUGAGACUAAGGCUUUAAUUGUUUUAUUUGGUCUAUUUAAGCUAGAAUCUAACCUUGGAAGGGAGUUGUCGUAGAUUUGAGUUUCGUUUUAAUUUCUUCUUCGGUCUUUGUGAGAUUUUGGUUCAUGUUUUUUGUUUUGGGUGUUCAAUGAAUUUUCAGGACUCUUCAAUAUUUUAAGGCACGGAUGUGACUAAGGCUUCAAUUGUUUUAUCGUGUCUAUUUAUGCAAGAAUCUAACAUUUGAAGGGAGUUGUCCUGAACUAGUGUUUUUUUUUUUUAAAUUUAGCUUCCGUCUUUGUGAGAUUUUUGGUUCUUGUCUUUUCUUUAGGUGUUCAGUGAAUUUUAAGGACUCUUUUUUCACUCAAGAAUAUUAUCAAAAUUUGGAUGCGUCUAAGGCUUCAAUUGUAUUAUCGAGUCUAUUUAAGCCAGACUCUAACCUUGGAAGGCAGUUGGACCUUCACAUUAAAAGGUCAUAUAUUUAGUUUUGGACGUCUAGGUAUGAUUUCCAGAUAUUUUCUACGGUGGUUUGACUUACAUCACCAAUGGUUUGACUUACAGUUGGUACUUUGCAUGUGUAUCUAUAUACAUGUUUGGAAAUUUUGAUCUAUACAUAUUGUAUGGCCAAUUUUUGUUUUACCUGGGUUAAAUUAUUUUAAAAGUGUCUUUAUUACUAUCAGUUAAACUUUUCCUUGGGGAUCCAUGAUCAAAGAAGGAUGCGAGUUAUAUGAAAGUAUUGAUAGUAUUUUCUGAUUAGGUAAACGCAUCAAUUUUUUUUUCUUUCAGUGCUUAUUUGUGAUAGUGGUGUUCCCUUCUCACUUUUUAACUUAUAUGAUGUAUAGUUUUACUUUCUUUUUUGAAUUUUCUUGUUUUGCACUUUGAACAUCAUUGCAGUUCUUAUGGAGAUACCAAGCAAGGUUUCCCAGAGUCAAGAUUGGUAUUCCUGCAACAGACCUAUUUUGUUGAAAAAUAACAGCACUAGUUUUAUAUACUUCUCAUUGUCGAAUUGACUUUUUUUUCUCCCUAUAUGAUAGUAUUUCCUCGUGUAAAUGCAUCAAUUUUUCGGUACUCAUAUGGAUGCUUCCUGUGGUGGUGGUGUUCCCUUCUCAAACUUUAGUUAUAUGUUUACUUAUUCUUUGGUCUCCCUUUGAUAUAUUGUCGGAAAUAUAGGAUUCCAAGUAUUUUCUGAAUUCUCUCAUAUUAGGUCAUUAAAUGUUUUUUCAAGGCUUAAAGUGAUAGUGGUGCUACUGGAGGUUUUUCAUCAUCUGCUACAGUGUAUUUUUCAUCAUAUGAAUUUUCCUCUUCUCUAGUCCUAGCAGCGUGGGUUAGAUAUCUUUCAUCAUCAUCUUUUCAUAUGAGGUCAUAGUCCACAAGCUUAAUUUGCACCAUUAGCUGUGACAUCGGAUUUUGUAACUGUUCCUCUUCUUGAAGUGCGGAGAUCUGUUUGGUAUAAUUUUUGUAUUGUGUUGGAAGCUAAUAGUUUAUUUUAACUACAGAGGGUUUUGUGGUUAUCUAUCUCUAUCAUCAUUGCAGAUGAUGUCGAUCUUUUGUUUAUAUUUAGGAAUCUGGAUUUUUGAUAUGCGACCUUGAAUUUCUUCUGAAUAGCCUAUGAACUUGGACUUGGAACUCCAUUGUAUACUCAUUUGUAAGGAAAUUGGUUUCAUGAAUUAAUAGUUUAUUUUAACUACAGAGGGUUUUGUGGUUAUCUAUCUCUAUGAUUAUUGCAGAUGAUGUUGAUCUUUUGCUUAUAUUUAGGAAUCUGGAUUUUUGAUAUGCAACCUUGACUUUCUUCUGAAUAGCCUAUGAAUUUGGACUUGGAACUCCAUUGUGUACUCAUUUGUAAGGAAGUUGGUUUCAUGAAUUAAUCUACUUUGUUUGGUUGGAAGCUCUCAAUGCAAUGUCAAAUGUUUCUCACUAUAAAGUUGAAUAUUUGGUUGUUGAGUUUUUGAGAUCUUUCGUUUGUUCCCAGUAAAUUCUGAUAUAUACAGUGCAAGGCAUCGUCUACUGUUAUUGCCCAUCAACUUGUUAUGCUCGGCCAUCUGUUUCUUGUUACGAGGAUGCGAUAGUCUUCAAGCUACGUUAUUCUAUCUUCAAAUGCUCAGGGGAGUUAUAUAUUAAUAGAAAAACCGGUGAAUUGACAUUCGAUUGGUGGUGAUGUGAUGAGUUCAUAUUUGUCUUAUAAGAAAAUUUAAUUUAUGUAUUAAUAUUUUUAAAUUGAUUCUUUAAAUCUUUGAUUAGUGUGAUUUUAAUUUGUUAGGGUAUUUUAAAGACUAUUCAUGCAUUUAGAGUCUUUUGGAGGGCUUUUAGCAUAUUUUGGUGGAAAAUAGUGGAAGCUGAGGAGCUCGAUUUUACAAGGCGGAACUUAAUUGCAAAUUUGGACGACCUGAGAGGCAGAAUUGGACUUGGAGCUCAACAUGAAGGUUUUAGAUCUCAUUCUUAGCUUUUUAGAAUAUCUUGAAUCGUUCAAUUCCGGUAAUAUUGAGAGAGUUAUGGCUAAAAUACUAUCAGUCAUCGCAGGAAUUUCAAAAAAAAAAAAAAAGAUAGUGAAAAUAAAGAAAGCUUUUCAAGUAGAGUUGCGAUUUUUUUAUCUUUAUUUCAAAAGAUGAAUUAUCUUUUCUUUUAGUGAAAUAUUUGUUAAUACUAUAAAUAGAAUCUCAAUUCUAAGAGGAUUUAUUUAUCUUUUCAAGCACUAUAAAUAGAAUCUUAAUUCCAAGAGGAUUGAUUUAUAUACAAGCACUAUAAAUAGGACCUCUUAGGCCACAAAUUGAAUAAUUCUAAAAGGAAAAAUUAGAGAGAGAAACUCAGAGAAAUAUUUCACUAAAAGAAAAGAUAAUUCAUUUUUUUAAAUAAAGAAAUAAAUCGCAAUUUUACUUUAAAAACUAUAUAUUCGCUAUUUUUUUUUUCAGAAAUUUCUUACUGUGAUAACUGAUAGUAUUUUAGUCAUAACUCUCGCGAUAUUACCCGGAAUUGGACGAUUCAAGAUGUUCUUGAAAGCUAAGAACGAGAUCUAAAACUUUCAUGUUGAGCUCCAAGUCCAGUUCUGCCUCUAAGGUUAUCCGAAUUUACAAUUAAGUUCUGCCUUGUAAAAUUGAGAUCGGCUUCCACUAUUUUCCACCAAAAUAUGCUAAAAGCCCUCUAAAAGACUCUAAAUGCAUGAAUAGUCUUUAAAAUAGCCUAACAAAUUAAAAUCACACUAAUCAAUGAUUUAAAGAAUCAAUUUAAAAAUAUUAAUACAUAAAUUGAUCAUAUUUAUCAAAAAUUAUGGGAGGCCAGCAGUUCUUAUGUGGGGAAGCAAGCAUGAUUUCAUUGGAGGUUUGAAAAGUCAUUUAUUUUAAUUUUUGUUGAAGCUUUUUGUCUUUCCCUAAUUUUUUUUUUCAGGUACAUGCAAGCUAUUGCUUGUAUAUUUUAUUUAUUUUUUGUUAAUUUCAGGAUCUUUGUUGGCAAUUUACAAGCUUUAGGAAGAUGAUUGAUUCCUUUAAUAUUUCGUGGGGUUUAGCUUUUCUGAAGAACAUUCUCAUAAUCUGCGUAUGCAUCUUCUCAAGUGCCAACAAAAGGGAGUUAACUUGUCAUAGUAUCUUUUAAUAGACGACUUUUAUCUUUCACUAUCUCGUGAUUUUUUGUUCAUGUCUUUGAUUGGGGUGUUCGACGAUUUUUCAGGAUUCAGCUUUUCUGAAGAAUGUUCUCAUAAUUAGCGUUUGCAUCUUCUCCCGUCCCAGCAAAAGGGAGUUGACUUGGCAUAUUAUCUUUCAAUAGAUGACUUUAUCUUUCACUACAUUGUGAUUUUUUGUUCAUGUUUUUUCUUGGGGGUGUUCAUCAAAUUUUUCAGGCUUCAACUUUUUAAAAAAUAUUCUCAUAAUUAGUGUCUGCAUCUUCUCCCGUCCCAGCAUUGGGUUAGAUAUGUUCAUCAUUAUCUUCACAUAGGAGGUCAUACUAUGGCUUAUUUUCACUAACUUGAUGCAGAACUUUGCUAAUUUUUUAUUUGCAUAUUGAGCUGGGACUUUAGAUUUUGCAUCUAUGCGCCUUUUCUUGAAGUGUGGAAAUUCUUAUGUGUUCGUGCAGGCGGAAAUUUAUUUACCAAUGGAGGGUUUUGUGAUUCUCUCCAUUAUCAUUGCAUAUGUUGCCAUCUUUGUUUUAUAUUUGGGAUCUGGAUUUAGAUAUACAUCCUUGGUUUUCUUGCUUACGUGUCGUUUGUUUUUUCAACUCAUCGUUUAUAAAAUUAAUUUGUUUCUCACUCUCCGCAUAUGUUCUUUCUUAUUUGGUUAUCUGUUGUUUCUUUCAUUACUUAUUUGACUUCGGUGAACUAAUAGGUGGCCUGCAAUAGUGGUGGUGUUUCGAUAACAGCAUUGGUGUAUCAUAGUCAUUGUUCCCUUUUUACUUUGGUUACUACCUUUGUUUAACGUGUCAUUUAGCUUUCCUUUCUUGAAUUUUCUUGAUAUCAGGAUGAAAACUAAUACUGUUGCUAUCAAGUUAUACACAAGAAGUUGGGUUAGUAUCCUUUUUGCCAUCAACACUGUUUGCUCAUAAAUUUUGUAAUUAACAAGAUGAUUAUUGUGGAUGUCAUCAGGUAGCUUUUUUAUUUGUUUUUUCGAGUUUUCUGUUUGUUUUAACUUUAAACAUAAUCAAAAUUGUGGUGGGCUUUGGUUUGGAUUUUGGUCUAUCUUUAUGGGUGAUGGGAAAUGGUUCAAGGCUAUGUUAGCAUAUGCAUUUGCUCAAUGAUUUUAAUUUGUGGACUUUCUUCAAUGUUCCUAUCUAAACAUGCAGCUUGACACCUCGAAAAUUUUAUGACUUGCAUUUGCUAUAUCUGUAUCUCGAUUAUGUGUCAAAACUUUUUUGUUCUUUUGUGCUUUGUUGUGCUUUUUUAUUCGCAUCAUGUGUUAUCUACAUAUUUGUGAUAUCUAGUGUUCUCACCUGUUCUUAAUGUUUGUGUUGCCCAUAUGUAACGCCCUAAUACUAAGGCACGCUACAGUGCUUUUUCAAUUAUUGUGCAAUCUUUGCUAAUCAAAGAAUUUCUCGAAAAACGUGUCAAAUUAAAACUUUUGCUUUAAAUAUUAAACUUUGUAAUAUAAUAUAAUAUUUACAAAUCUCGGGAUCCCGAUUUCAAACUUCGUAAAAUUUACUUUUUAAACUUUACAUUUCAAAAUACAUAAUUUUCAGGUCGCACAGCGACUUUCAAAAUAUAACUCCCAGAUGUCCCGAGACCGAACACUCCAGGUCGCGCCGCUUGACAUGUACAAUCCCAUCUGAGCUCGGGUUCACUCCUGUUCAGUCAUAGCCUUUCCCUUACCUACACAUGAAAGUAGAAACUGUGAGUCAACAGACUCAGUAAGAAAUGCAUAUAACACAUCAUAUAAUUUCCGACCAACAAAUCACAGAACAAACCAAUAAUUCAAUUUAUGUCAUUAAAGCUCAAAGCUUGAGUUUCAAAACUCAAGCUUGCUUAAAACCAACACCAAGCAUCAAAGUUAACUACUAGAACCCUUAAUCAACCAAUAUUGAGCAUAAAAAUCUAACCCUAACCAUUUCUAAACUUAACAGCCACCAUAAAUCAAAAUCAUGCUUGAAACCAAAAUAAACUCAACUAAAAAACUCAUAACUCAAAAGAUAAAGGUUUCUAGGGUUUACCUCACUUACUACAACCUUGAAUCCUUGAUAAUUUCCAGAGAAAUGGAAGAAAAAAUGAUGCCCUUGCCUUGGAUUUGCCUCAGCCGAAAGAGAGGAAGAGAAAAAGAGAGUUCUAGGUUGACUUUUUCUUUCAUUUUCUAUUUCAAAUGAAAAGGGAAUUAAUUGAUUAAUUCCUUGCUGAGUUGAUUAAACUACUAGGUGUCACAACCCUAGGCUGCCACCUACUCCCCCCUUGGCAAAUUACUAAAAUGCCCUUACUCAUAAAACUAGGGUAUUUUCAAGACUAGGGGUAAAAUGGUCAAACUCCAUAUCCCCGCUCAAUCCCGAUAAAAUAUUUUCUCUAAAAUAUUUCCCAUUAUGAAAUAAGGUUCUAAACUUACCCAUGUGAUCAAUUUAGCCAUCCAUCGCAUUUUCCGUUGUCGCUGAGCAAAAAUUACAAAAUUAACAUAUUUCACAUAUAAGCUAAAUAAUACCCCUA